CGAAAGCCUGACGGAGCAACGCCGCGUGAGGGAUGGAGGCCUUUGGGCUGUAAACCUCUUUUCUCAAGGAAGAAGAUCUGACGGUACUUGAGGAAUAAGCCACGGCUAAUUCCGUGCCAGCAGCCGCGGUAAUACGGGAGUGGCAAGCGUUAUCCGGAAUUAUUGGGCGUAAAGCGUCCGCAGGCGGCCGUUUAAGUCUGUUGCUAAAUCGUGGAGCUCAACUCCAUCACGGCAAUGGAAACUGUUCGGCUUGAGUAUGGUAGGGGCAGAGGGAAUUUCCGGUGUAGCGGUGAAAUGCGUAGAUAUCGGGAAGAACACCAGUGGCGAAAGCGCUCUGCUGGGCCAUUACUGACGCUCAUGGACGAAAGCCAGGGGAGCGAAAGGGAUUAGAUACCCCUGUAGUCCUGGCCGUAAACGAUGAACACUAGAUGUUGGGGGAAUCGACCCCCUCGGCGUCGUAGCUAACGCGUUAAGUGUUCCGCCUGGGGAGUACGCACGCAAGUGUGAAACUCAAAGGAAUUGACGGGGGCCCGCACAAGCGGUGGAGUAUGUGGUUUAAUUCGAUGCAACGCGAAGAACCUUACCAAGGCUUGACAUCCUGCGAAUCUCUAAGAAAUUAGAGAGUGCCUUCGGGAACGCAGUGACAGGUGGUGCAUGGCUGUCGUCAGCUCGUGUCGUGAGAUGUUGGGUUAAGUCCCGCAACGAGCGCAACCCACGUUUUUAGUUGCCAGCAUUCAGUUGGGCACUCUAGAAAGACUGCCGGUGACAAACCGGAGGAAGGUGUGGACGACGUCAAGUCAUCAUGCCCCUUACGCCUUGGGCUACACACGUACUACAAUGCUGCGGACAAAGAGUAGCGAUCUUGCGAAAGUUAGCUAAUCUCAUAAACCGUGGCUCAGUUCAGAUCGUAGGCUGCAACUCGCCUACGUGAAGGAGGAAUCGCUAGUAAUCGCAGGUCAGCAUACUGCGGUGAAUACGUUCCCGGGCCUUGUACACACCGCCCGUCACACCAUGGAAGUUGGCCAUGCCCGAAGUCGUUACUCUAACCUUUUGGAAGAGGGCGCCGAAGGCAGGGCUAAUGACUGGGGUGAAGUCGUAACAAGGUAGCCGUAGCGGAAGCUGCGGCUGGAUCACCUCCUAA
rnacentral:rRNA from 1 species